AAUGGGUGAACUGCUACACAUAAUCUGUAAUUUUGGUGUGGUGGGACUGUGUGGUCUGUUACGGACCUCGUUAAUGCCUAGAGUUUCUAUACUGCCCUCCACCUCUACCCCUGCCUUUGCCAAGGCCACUGCUGGUAUCUUCAUAGCCUCCUGCACACUUCCCGCUGCUGCUUUGCCAACAAAAUUGCCACCUGUUCCAGCACAACCAGUUGCACCAAGGCUGUCAUAGCGUCUGAUGCCAGCUGCCUUCAGUAGUGAUGUUGCCAGUGCUGUUCUGUCCUCAGAGGGGCCUCUCACCUUUUUUUUAUUUUAGCAGAAAGACCCAAGUCAAAAUCACCAUGAAAACCAACCUAGAACAUACUUGUUCCCUGGGGACUCAUGUAGCUCUAGUAGUGUACUUUGUAUUUUCCUGAUCUGGGAGCUGAGAAUUCAGAGGAUCUUGACAUCUUAGAUUUUCCAUAAUCCUCUUAUUGGGCCAUGUCCUGCUUCCUCACCAGUCUGAGGAAAAUUGAACACGUUUCUCACUUCUGAGACAUGGCUGUUUUUUGCUCAGAUCAAGGAAAUACGAACUACUGGAGCUCCAUGUUCAAUAAAUUAAAGACGUUAGAAGUGUCUA